rnacentral:rRNA from 1 species
CCUACGGGUGGCAGCAGUGGGGAAUAUUGGGCAAUGGGCGCAAGCCUGACCCAGCAACGCCGCGUGCAGGAAGAAGGCUUUCGGGUUGUAAACUUCUUUUCUCAGGGACGAAGAAUGUGACGGUACCUGAGUAAUAAGCCACGGCUAACUACGUGCCAGCAGCCGCCGUACUACGUAGGUGGCAAGCGUUAUCCGGAUUUAUUGGGGGUAAAGGGCGUGUAGGCGGGAGCGCAAGUCAUAUGUGAAAACUCAGGGCUCAACCCUGAGCCUGCAUUUGAAACUGUGUUUCUUGAGUGCUGGAGAGGCAAGCGGAAUUCCGUGUGUAGCGGUGAAAUGCGUAGAUAUACGGAGGAACACCAGUGGCGAAGGCGGAUUGCUGGACAGUAACUGACGCUGAGGCGCGAAAGCGUGGGGAGCAAACAGGAUUAGAUACCCCAGUAGUC